GACGAACGCUGGCGGCGUGCUUAACACAUGCAAGUCGAACGGAGAUAAUGGAGUGUUUGCAUGAAAUUAUCUUAGUGGCGGACGGGUGAGUAACACGUGGGUAACCUGCCCUAUGGAGGGGGAUAACACAGAGAAAUCUGUGCUAAUACCGCAUAACAUAACGAUAUCGCAUGGUAUUGUUAUCAAAGAUUAAUUGCCAUAGGAUGGACCCGCGGCCCAUUAGCUAGUUGGUGAGGUAACGGCUCACCAAGGCGACGAUGGGUAGCCGAUCUGAGGGGAUGAACGGCCACAUUGGAACUGAGACACGGUCCAGACUCCUACGGGAGGCAGCAGUGGGGAAUAUUGCACAAUGGGGGAAACCCUGAUGCAGCAACGCCGCGUGAGCGACGAAGGCCUUCGGGUCGUAAAGCUCUGUCUUAGCUGACGAUAAUGACGGUAAGCUAGGAGGAAGCCACGGCUAACUACGUGCCAGCCGCCGCGGUAAUAC
rnacentral:rRNA from 1 species